rnacentral:rRNA from 1 species
AGCGAACGCUGGCGGCAGGCCUAACACAUGCAAGUCGAGCGGCCGUAGCAAUACGGCAGCGGCAGACGGGAGAGUAACACGUGGGAACGCGCCCUUCGGUUCGGGAUAACUCAGGGAAACUUGGGCUGAUACCGGAUACGCCCUUACGGGGAAAGAUUUAUUGCCGAAGGAACGGCCCGCGUCCGAUUAGAUUGUUGGUGAGGUAACGGCUCACCAAGGCGACGAUCUGUAGCUGGUCUGAGAGGAUGACCAGCCUCACUGGGACUGAAACACGGACGAGACUACUAGGGGAGGCAGCGGUGGAGAAUAUUGGACACAGGGCGCAAGCGUGAUCAAGCCAUGCCGCGUGGGUGAUGAAGGCGCGAGGGUUGUAGAGCCCUUUCAGAGGGGAAGAUAAUGACGGUAGCCGCAGAAGAAGCCCCGGCUAACUUCGUGCCAGCAGCCGCGGUAAGAC